rnacentral:rRNA from 1 species
CAAGGAUGGGUCUGCGGCCAAUCAGGUAGUAGUGGGUGUAAUGUACCUACUAGCCGACAACGGGUACGGGUUGUGAGAGCAAGAGCCCGGAGAUGGAUUCUGAGACAUGAAUCCAGGCCCUACGGGGCGCAGCAGGCGCGAAAACUUUACAAUGCGGGAAACCGUGAUAAGGGGACACCGAGUGCCAGCAUCAUAUGCUGGCUGUCCGGGUGUGUAAAAUACACCUGUUAGCAAGGGCCGGGCAAGACCGGUGCCAGCCGCCGCGGUAA